rnacentral:tRNA from 1 species
ACCAGGCUGGCUCUGUCGGUAGAGCAUGUGACUUCUGAUCUCGGGUUGUGAGUUCGAGCCCCACGUUGGGCA